AGACUUUCCUGGCAGGGGAAAUACCAUGACCACUAAGGUGGUUUUCCAAGUUGCUGGGGAUAACUGCUUUUUUGUCAAGAGGUAGUAUCCAGGUGGAAGUAAUGUAUUGUUAACUUCCAUUACCAGUGGAAAGAUCUUGGCUUUAUGCCCACUUUAUGGAAAUGGGAGACUCCUCCCU
rnacentral:snRNA from 1 species